CAGGAAAUGUGGGUUUUGACGACGUUUAUUUGACGGCGUUUUAUUAAACGCCAUGUUUUAUAAUAUUCGACGGCGUUUUUUAAACGUCAUUUUUUAAAAAUAUUAAAACGGUACCGUUUCAAUAACAGAAGGCGUCUUAAAAGCGCCUUCAAAUGUCCUCUCUCUUUCUCCCUUAAAUGGGCGAGCCUCUGAAGCCCUAAUCUCUCAAUCACUCAUUUUGUGGCCCUAAUCUUUUACUCAAUCACACUCUGGUUCGCUCUCUCUCUCUCUCUCAACCCUUUCAAUGAAUCGAUUCAUCUCAAUGGAUCAAUUCAUCUCAGAAUGAUACAGUCUCGGUGAUUCAUCUUGGCUAUUUCGAUUUUGAUUUUGAAGUUCAUCUUAUUUGGAAUCCUCACGGCUUCAAAUCUCGCCUCUUUCAACCCUCUCUAAGCCCUUAUCAUUCUCACAGAUUCAUCUUUGAGAUUCAGAGCGAUUUCGAUUUCGAAUCUCCACCGCCAGCACCGUCUGCACCGGCUCGAUUUCUCUGAUUUCGAUUUCAUCUGAAUCUCUGAUUUCGAUUUUGAUUUCGAAGCUCCACCGCCACCACCAUCUGCACCAGCGAGGGCCUUCAAUCUCUGUGAGAAGAGCAGCAUCAUAAUUUUGAAUAAAGAGUUACGUGUACGGGUAUAAAAAUCGGUUCCAGAAUUUUAUUAGAUAUCUACGGGAAAUAGGAAAUGAGAUGUAGUGAUCAUGUGACAAUGGCUUAUCUGGACCUGUUCCAGACAAUGGCUCGUUUUGACUAUUCACUCCCAUCAGGUUUCUUGUUAGAGAGAAUGUUGUUCUGUAGUGUCCUUGUCCUUGAA